AGUGAACGCUGGCGGUAGGCCUAACACAUGCCAGUCGAACGGCAGCACAGUAAGAGCUUGCUCUUACGGGUGGCGAGUGGCGGACGGGUGAGGAAUACAUCGGAAUCUACUUUUUCGUGGGUGAUAACGUAGGGAAACUUACGCUAAUACCGCAUACGCCCUACGGGUGAAAGCAGGGGAUCUUCGGACCUUGCGCGAUUGAAUGAGCCGAUGUCGGAUUAGCUAGUUGGCGGGGUAAAGGCCCACCAAGGCGCCGAUCCGUAGCUGGUCUGAGAGGAUGAUCAGCCACACGAGAACGGAGACACGGUCCAUACUCCUACGGGAGGCAGCAGUGGGGAAUAUUGGACAGUGGGCGCAAGCCUGAUCCAGCCAUACCGCGUGGGUGAAGAAGGCCUUCGGGUUGUAAAGCCCUUUUGUUGGGAAAGAAAAGCAGCAGGUUAAUACCCCGCUGUUCUGACGGUACCCAAAGAAUAAGCACCGGCUAACUUCGUG
rnacentral:rRNA from 1 species